UCCGAUUACAUCGUUCUUUACAUGAAAAAGGUAGACGAUUCCAAUAAAUAUUCUUUAACACUAAAAACCAGCUUUCGAAAAGGAACAGUUCCUGAAUUUUCACCUUGGCAACCUCUCUCUUUGUUUAUUAUAUCUACUAGAAAAAAAAAUUGUGGUUGUUGACUUUGGAGGGCUGUCGCUUCCUUGGCUAAACCAAAGAAGAGUUGAAAUUUACAAAUUACGUAAAAGUUUUAGGGUAAAACGAAUAAUGUUAUGUCAGUGUUCGAACUCAAGUGAGGGGUGUCAAAUAUGGCCAAAUCUAACCAAAUAAGCUAUAAAAUAUCAAGUUACACAUAACAAAACUACUAAUAUAUAAAUUUAUAGGGUGUCAUAUGAACCCCUGUUCAUCAACGUAGGUCCGCCUGCCUGAGGUAAGAUUUUUGCAAGCUUACUGGGUUUCAUGGUUUAUGCCAAUUGUGGUUCUCACAUUCGUUUGGGGAAUCGCCAAAAUCAAUGUAACAAAACAAAACAGGACAAACGUAGAGAAAGUAAAACGUUUUGAAAUUUUUUUUUAGUUGAUCAAAUUUGCCUUUUUGUUUUGUUUUAGUAACCAUAUUCUUGUGACUUUAUCUUUAUGGUGAUUUUAUUUUAUUUUACAUGCGGUCCUUUUUAACGUUUCACGGCAUGGUUUACUUUAUUUUUAUGUUUUCUUACUACCAAUACGUUUUGGUCUUUGAUUAAAACUGUUGUUUCUGGUUUUUGGUUACGAAAAUCUCUCGAGAAGAGACAAUAGAGCAUUUACUUUCGGCGGCUUUAAACUAAUACCGCUAGCAUUUCUAUUUAUAGAUUUUAUAUUUUAAGCAUAAGUAAUACUCCAUCCGUUUCACAAAAAGUGUCGUUCUGACAUUUUUCACACAAAUUAAGAAAUAAAAUAAAAAGUCUCUUAUACUCUUAUUAAUUUGCAGAAAAUGACUCUUAGAAUUAUAUUUAUAAUUAAUUUUCUGAAUUUAUUGAGGUUAAAAAUGGUAUUUUAUGCUAAAAAUUACAUUGAAAUUUUAAAACGACAUUCUUUUUGAAACAAAAAAAAAGUGUCAGAACGACACUCUUUGUGAAACGGAGGGAGUAUAGAACAAAACAGUAAAAAAAAUUGCUAAAAAUAUCAAAUUUUAUUUCAAUAUUUCAAAGUUACUAAAACAAUUUUUAUUGUGUGUUUCAGAUUUUAUUUUUAAGUUUUGUUUGUGGAUAUAUUCGAUCGAAUUUUUUUUUAGUGUACAGAUGUGUGAAAUCAGAAAAAUUGUAGAUAAAACACAAAUCAGAAAAGAAGAGAAGAUUGAUUAUCAAAGGGAUUCGAAAAAAGGCGAAAAAGGCGAGAAGUUAUUGAUUGGAAGGAGGAUACAAAGGCGAUCCAGAGAGAGAUUAAUUGAUCGGACGCUAAGGAAAACAAGAAAGCGGAGAACGUCUGCGAUUGAGAGAUUAUGCUUUACACUUUUUAGACAUUUUAUUAGCACUAUUCAUUUUUUUCUUAUAAUUACUAUAUCUUCUUUUUAUUUUCUACUUCCUCUCUGGUUAAUAUCACAUGUAGCUCA
rnacentral:lncRNA from 1 species